rnacentral:rRNA from 1 species
GGCGGCCCGCAACGCAACAGCCUAAGACUGACGCACCAACGCCGCGUGAGUGAUGAAGGCCCUCGGGUCGUAAACCUCUGUCAGAGGGGAAGAACCUCCAAUCGACUAAUAUCCGGUUGGCCUGACGGUACCCUCAAAGGAAGCACCGGCUAACUCCGUGCCAGCAGUCGCCGGAAUACGGAGGGUGCAACCGUCGUUCGGAAUUAUUGGGCGUAAAGCGCGUGUACGCGGCCAUUCAAAUCUGAUGUGAAAGCCCUGGGCUCAACCCGGGAAGUGCAUUGGAAACUGGAUGACUUGAGUACGGGAGAGGGUAGUGGAAUUCCGAUUGUAGGGGUGAAAUCCGAAUAUCUUCAGAGGAACACGGGGGGGAAGGCGGCUACCUGGACCGAUACUGACGCUGAGACGCGAAAGCGUGGGGAGCAAACAGGAUUAGAUACCCUGGUAGUCCACGCCGGUAAACGAU